GAUGUGAAUCAUCGAAUCUUUAGAACGCACAUUGCGCCCUAUGGUAUUCCAUAGGGCAUGCCUGUUUGAGCGUCAUUUCUCUCUCAAAUCUUCGGAUUUGGUUUUGAGUGAUACUCUUAGUCAGACUAAGCGUUUGCUUGAAAUGUAUUGGCAUGAGUGGUACUAGAUAGUGCUGAACUGUUUCAAUGUAUUAGGUUUAUCCAACUCGUUGACCAGUAUAGUAUUUGUUUAUUACACAGGCUCGGCCUUACAACAACAAACAAAGUUUGACCUCAAAUCAGGUAGGACUACCCGCUGAACUUAAGCUUAUCAAUAAGCGGAGGAA
rnacentral:rRNA from 1 species